rnacentral:rRNA from 1 species
CUGACGUUAGCGGCGGACGGGUGAGUAACACGUGGGUAACCUACCUAUAAGACUGGGAUAACUCCGGGAAACCGGGGCUAAUACCGGAUAAUACAUGAAACCGCAUGGUUUCAUGAUGAAAGACGGUUUUGCUGUCACUUAUAGAUGGACCCGCGGCGUAUUAGCUAGUUGGUAAGGUAACGGCUUACCAAGGCAACGAUACGUAGCCGACCUGAGAGGGUGAUCGGCCACACUGGAACUGAGACACGGUCCAGACUCCUACGGGAGGCAGCAGGG